GGGAUCUUCGGCAACACACUCAGGAACUACGAGUUGCUCGUUGUCUAAGUAAAGCGAGCAUACAUUCAAUAAAUUUGGAAAGUAAAAAUGAACAUCACAUCACAUAUGAACAAACAUUGGCACACAACUCAAAAAGGUAUAGAAUUAAGUACAGGGGAAUGAGGUCAAGUUAUAAAAUGAACAAAUCUUAAUUGGGGGGGGGGGAUUGAUUACUCUCUAAGUGUUGAAACAUAACCUGAUAGAGUAAUAAUUAAACAAAGAAAAGAUUACAUUAUAAGAUGAACUACUCUCAUUUAGGAAUUUGAUUACCCUUUAAAUAUUAUCCAUAAAUACAUACCUAAUUCUAUUUAUCACAUUAGGGUCUAAAGGUUAAACCAAAAAUGAAUCCAUGAAAUGCAUAACACUAAUCUCACAAAAUUAGAUAUGUUUUAACUCCUAGGAUUCUCCUUUUAUUUAUUUCAUUAAAUAAACAAAUCAGCAUAUACUUUAAUUCUAUAUUCUAAGUGUAAAAAUUAAAGUAUACAGAUUACAGUUGGUCAUAUUUUAUUUGGACAGAGAAAAUCUUGUGAACAUUUUGCAAUUUGAAUCACUAAAUUUGGAGUUCAAUAUAUGAAAUAAACAAGUUUUGAAGUUUGAAAUAUGAAAUUAGGGCUAAAUCUAUGAUUAAAUAAAACUCCAGGGGGGUAUUCUAAAGAAACCAGGGACCUAUGUGCUAAAACAGAGGACAGCGGGUUGAUUUCCUAAAACCAGGGGGUUUCUUAAACAAAACUACCACGCGAAGGGGUAUGGGGUAAUCUCAGCCAUCGGAUCAGACAUCAACGGCCCAGAUUAGAUCAUGCGGGCGCGGCUGACAAGCGGGGCCAGGGCGCCAGCGAGCCAGGACGGGCUGACCGGUCGGGCCCAGGGGCAGAGACGCGGGUGAGGGGGAGAGGGGAGAGGCGGUUGGAUCUGGAUCGGAGGGCUACGAUCCAAUCCGCUCGAGUUAAGUCUAAACCGCCCGAUCUCGGGUGGACCGCCGAGAUCUAACGGCAAGGGGGCAGACUUGGGCGCGGUGGCGCCGCUUCGUCAGCGGCAGGAGCUCGCCGGAGAUAAAGAGACCUGCCACUGCAGGACACUAGGGGCUCGGGGACUAGUCUAGGCGCAGUAAGAGGGGUCUGGCGAACUCGGCCAUGGCCUUCACGCUGGCGCGGGAGCACCAGAGGGUGCUGCACACGGAGAGGCGGACUAACGGCGGCGCUAGAUUGCUCCGGCGAGCAAUUGCGCGAACUACAAGGCAGUACACAGGAAAUUAGGGGCGCAGGCAGGUUUCUCACCUCGAGGGGAAGUGAUGGAGUCACGGGGCAACGACGGUGGCGCAGGGAUGCGACGGACAACGAUGGUGGAGCUCCGGCUGCGCGAGAAUCACUCCGGUGAGCACGGGCCGGCUAAACCAGGGAGGGAAGGGGCACACCGAAGGGUGUCCCGAGCAUGUGACAGUGAGGCAGAGCUCCCGUGGCACUGGACGGGGCGCGAACGCGACGGUGGUCGCAGAACAGGUGGCGGUCGGCGGUGGGCGGUGGCGGGGCUCUCUGCACACGUGGGUAGAGCGAGAGAGAGGGCGAGGGAGCUGGGCAGAGGGCGCAAAUGGGCGAGGGGAGGUGGGCGAGCAGGGCACGGGGCUCAAAAGGGGCGCGAGGUCUCGGACGUGGCCGGAGAACGCACAGUCGUGGGCGCGUCCACGGCGAGGAGAUCAUGGGCGGGAGGUUGGGGACGAGCUGACAGGUGGGGACGGCGGGACAGAGGGAGGGCGGGCGCACGCGAGGGAAACCGCGCCGACAGGUCGGCCCCAUGGUGCAGCGAGAGAGGGGGGGGAAGAGAGUGCAAGCGCUUAGGGCUGCGCCGACAGGUGGGACCCUCCUGUCAGGCAGAGGGGGCGCGCGAGCGCGGGCGCGCGCGCAGGCUCGGCUAAGUGGGCUGCCUUGGGCCGAAUUGGCUUUUCCUUUUUCCUAGAAUUUCUAAUUGCUUUUCUAUUUAUUUUCUCUAGGGUUUUCAAUUCAAAUUCAAACCAAAUCAAAUAUGUGCAACUUUUCAAAGAAUAUUUAGGCUCAAUAUGAUGAAACAUUCCAUGACUCAUAUGUUUUGGACAAAAUAAAUUAAAUAAUCCCUCACUAAUACAACUAACCCUAAUUAAAAGAAGAAGAAAGGGAAAAAACUAGAGAGAGAGGGGAACUAGAGUGAGAUAGAGAAGAGUAACACCUGAAUUUGGAUGAUCAUAAGAAAGAAAUUUUAUACCCCCAAAUUCAGGGUGUUACAAGGUACCAACUUGCUUUUCAGAUGACUCGUGGCCUCACUGCUAAACGUAGCAAUACAGACAAACAUGGUAUAGGCAAAAUUAACAUCACACCAAACAUGUAAACAAAAUACAUAAUAACAAUCUACACAUUAAAAUAAUAUUCUAGGAAUAGGAAUCAUUAAUUUUGGAGUUAUAGAUUUUAAGUUAUGAAUUUCUGAAGGUUUUAUGUGUUUUGUACAAGAUUAAAUAGGAUAUAAAUUUUAUUGUGUCAUUCAUGUCAAACAGUGGCACUAUUUGAUAAAAAAAAUUAUUACAAAAUUAUAGGAACUGGAAUAAAUUAUUUAGACUUCAUAUGAAUUUUGUAUGAAUUAAACAAGUUCUAGCAUUUAUUUUUACAUUAAAAAUCAUUUUCAAAUUACUUUUACUGAAUUUUCUAUUUCCUGGAUCGGGCGCAAGAUUUAACCGAAAGCCAGGGGUCUCGGUGCAAUUCUUUCUAAGACUCAGAGCUCCCCCAUCAGGAUUGCGGGUUGAUUUAUAAAUAAUUCAGGGUCUCUUAUGCUAUUCUGCCAUGGCGAAGGGGUACGGGUAGACUUCAACCGUUGGAUCGGCAUUUGAGGGCUCGGAUUAGAUCACCAUCAUAUGUGAACCGGUAUCCAAUCCGGGCCGCAGGAUUCAGGAUCCAUGGUCCAGAUUUCACGGAGAAGGGUUAUGUGGUCGCUCUAAUCUCACCCGCACAUCGUCCGAUCGACGCCCAGAUCUAACUGUGCGAAGGGGUAUCCAGAUAUCUAAUCUCCACCGCCCUCAUCCGGAUGGAUGGCUGAGAUAUCGUCUUCCACUCCGGCCGUUUGAUCAAAAUCAGACGACAUCGGAUACACCAGCCCGAAUCGGUAUCAAUCAGGGCCACUCAAUCUCAAAAUCAAAGGUCACGAGAUCAUCUUCAACCUCCGCACCAAACCGCAGUGGAGCUAUAUCGACAUGAGGCAUGCCCAGCGCCCUGGUGGACUACUGCUACCCCAGCUACUAAAAAAGGGAUGCAGAGAACGUAGCGGAUAAGUUUGUAAGCUCCUUACUCGAGUCUGCACACCGGUGAUGAACUCCAAGCGGCCCAGCCACGCACUAAGCGGAUUGGGCGCUGAGCGCACGCUCCAGUGGAGAGACUCCCGAUGGUCCGAGGGUGCUCCCCAUCCGAGAAGCAUAUGAGUGCAAUUCCGAGGGCACAGUGAAUCACCCUGGACCCAUGUUUGCUCUGUGUGGUCCGGAUAUGCAGGUAUCGACGACGACGGCUCCUCUCUGUACUUCGGCGAGCUUCUAUUUGGCGAUGAGGAGGGUCUUCGAUUGAUGCGAGUAUGGGAUACGGCGGCUCCGAUUCUUAUAGUGCCAGGACAGCGCCAAGUCCGGAAGGAUCCCAACUGAACUCCGAGUUCGCGCCCAACCAGAUUUCACGGUAGCCGACCAGCACGGACAUCAGGAGGGAGAAGAACUGGCCACAGGGCCCCCCGAGUCAGCGAUACCCAAAGCGCGCGGCUGAGGGAAAAACG
rnacentral:lncRNA from 1 species